rnacentral:rRNA from 2 species
ACGAACGCUGGCGGCGUGCUUAACACAUGCAAGUCGAACGGAAAGGCCCUUCGGGGUACUCGAGUGGCGAACGGGUGAGUAACACGUGGGUGAUCUGCCCUGCACUUUGGGAUAAGCCUGGGAAACUGGGUCUAAUACCGAAUACACCCCUCUGAUCGCAUGGUUGGUGGGGGAAAGCUUUUGCGGUGUGGGAUGGGCCCGCGGCCUAUCAGCUUGUUGGUGGGGUGAUGGCCUACCAAGGCGACGACGGGUAGCCG